GGGGAAUUUUCCGCAAUGGGCGAAAGCCUGACGGAGCAAUACCGCGUGUGGGAGGAAGGCCCUUGGGUUGUAAACCACUUUUAUCAGGGAAGAAGCUCUGACGGUACCUGAUGAAUAAGCAUCGGCUAACUCCGUGCCAGCAGCCGCGGUAAUACGGAGGAUGCAAGCGUUAUCCGGAAUCAUUGGGCGUAAAGCGUCCGUAGGUGGUUUGUCAAGUCUGUCGUCAAAGAAUGGAGCUUAACUCCAUAAAGGCGGUGGAAACUGAGAGACUAGAGUUCGGUAGGGGUAGCGGGAAUUCCCAGUGUAGCGGUGAAAUKCKUAAAUAUUGGGAAGAAC
rnacentral:rRNA from 1 species